CCUACGGGAGGCAGCAGUGGGGAAUAUUGGACAAUGGGGGGAACCCUGAUCCAGCCAUGCCGCGUGUGUGAAGAAGGCCCUCGGGUUGUAAAGCACUUUCAGUGAGGAAGAACGCCUGGUGGUUAAUACCCAUCAGGAAAGACAUCACUCACAGAAGAAGCACCGGCUAACUCCGUGCCAGCAGCCGCGGUAAUACGGAGGGUGCGAGCGUUAAUCGGAAUUACUGGGCGUAAAGCGCGCGUAGGUGGCUUGAUAAGCCGGUUGUGAAAGCCCCGGGCUCAACCUGGGAACGGCAUCCGGAACUGUCAAGCUAGAGUGCAGGAGAGGAAGGUAGAAUUCCCGGUGUAGCGGUGAAAUGCGUAGAGAUCGGGAGGAAUACCAGUGGCGAAGGCGGCCUUCUGGACUGACACUGACACUGAGGUGCGAAAGCGUGGGUAGCAAACAGGAUUAGAUACCCGAGUAGUC
rnacentral:rRNA from 1 species